rnacentral:rRNA from 1 species
GACGGAGGGUGCAAGCGUUGCUCGGAAUCACUGGGCGUAAAGGGUGCGUAGGCGGUCGCGUAAGUCAGGUGUGAAAUCUCAGGGCUCAACCCUGAAACUGCACUUGAUACUGCGUGGCUCGGGUACUGGAGAGGAGACUGGAAUUUACGGUGUAGCAGUGAAAUGCGUAGAUAUCGUAAGGAAGACCAGUGGCGAAGGCGAGUCUCUGGACAGUUACCGACGCUGAGGCACGAAGGUCAGGGGAGCAAACGGG